rnacentral:misc_RNA from 1 species
GAGGAUCGUCAGUGGCAAGUCCGGUUUGUACCCGGCACCUACAAGGGUUGGCCGCCAGUCAAAAAGCCGGAACCAAUUUUCGUGCCGGCAGGCAUGAAGGCUUCCUGCCCGAACUGCGGACAAACCAGAGUUAUUCCGCGCACGGAAGCUCAUAAAGAUUGCGGCAUUUGCGGUGACCGAAUUCCGCCCGAGGGUCAAUGACCCAUGCUUCAAAGAGUGUCAGCUGGCAUCGGACUCUUUUCAGAAUUGCGGCC